UACGGAGGGUGCAAGCGUUAUCCGGAUUCACUGGGUUUAAAGGGUGCGUAGGCGGGCAGGUAAGUCCGUGGUGAAAUCCCCGAGCUUAACUCGGGAACUGCCAUGGAUACUAUUUGUCUUGAAUAUUUGUGGAGGUAAGCGGAAUAUGUCAUGUAGCGGUGAAAUGCUUAGAUAUGACAUAGAACACCAAUUGCGAAGGCAGCUUGC
rnacentral:rRNA from 1 species